rnacentral:lncRNA from 1 species
UUGAAUCAUUUGCAUCUAUUCUCUCUAGGUUUCAAAAACUCAUUGCUCAUACAUUCUUCAAGAUUAAACACUUUUUCUUAGAAUCACUUUGUCUUUGAGUGUGUAGAUUCUCUAGGGUGCUAGUAGGGAUUGUAAGUUGGUUCUCUCAAGAAGAUUGAUUGGGCUUAAUCAAGGCUUCAAAAUAAGUGAAUAAUCUCAUUCCACCUCCAAAGGACUUGGGGGUCUUUCUAACUAUUCUUGAUAUCGAAGGGAGUUCGUUUACCGGACGUAGCAUUGAAGAC